AUCAAAAAGGAUUGGGAUCUUAGUGAAAUAAAGUUACUCUAUUUGUUACUUAUCAAGAAAAUACAAAGUUGCUUAGAAUUUAACUAUCACCAGACUUUGCAUUCUGGCCUUAGUGGAAAAUUGUCAUAUCAUUUUUUUUAAAUUUGAUCCAGGUUGAUGAUUUUCCAAAAUCAUUAAAACAUGCAUAUAGGAAAUCCAGUCUAUUCUGCUUUUCUUUCUUUUCUCCCCCAUUUGGCAAGCCUUGCUGCAUGAUGCAUUGUGUAAUAGAUUUUUUUUAAUGCAAAGCUGACAUUUGCACAGCAUGAGUACAAGCUAUGCCAUUUUCCUUGCCUUGUCCCAGAGGACAAGAGAUUGCUAUGUGCUAUUCCAAUCAGGACCAUGCAUUAAAAAUAAGUGUCCUCCCCAAGAUCAAAAAUAAGAAAAGAGAAACUGAAAAAAAAAACCCGCAGAGACAAAUUCCUAUUUGAUCUAUUUGAGGCAGACUGUUAUACUCAGGGUCUGGUAUUUCAAAGCAGGGGCCUUCCUAAGAGAGGGCAAACCAGCUAAACACUUGACUGGCUGUCUCCUGGAUCAGAGUUGAGAGAACCUGGGCUCGUUACCAGAUUCUAUCUUAUAUCCAAUCUCAGAACAAGCUGGAUAGAAUUAGGAAAGGGCUGCCACUGGCUUGCCAGCAGCCAGAAUCAUGACUAUGUCAGCAAAUGUCCUUAGCUAUCUCCAGCAGUUAUUAGAACACACUCUUACCCACCUUCAGGACAAUUGCCGGCGAGUUGCAGUAGAGAGCAGGUUGUUAAUUUUGGUAAGAGCUUAUUUCUCAGCCUGUAAAAGUAUCUAGCCCAAUGUUGAAGGGUAUCACAUGAUCAGUGUACACUAGCUGGAGAACUGAAUCUUUCAACAUGUCUUGAAAAGUGAAUGUGUUUAUAAUCUAAGACUCUAGGCUAACUCCAAUGCAAUUAGCCAAAGUUAGGGGGGUUUAAUUUACAAAAGAAAAUCACAUAUUUAUACCCAGAGCAUCUGAAUAAAAGUCCUAUGAGAUAAGUAGGCAAAAAUGCUGUUACUGGCAGAUGUUUGGCAGACAGUUUUAAAGGUAAAUGAAAUCAUAAGAGGUUAAAUCUGGCUUGUCCAGAACUUUUGAUGCUAGGAAAGAAUUUGGAGCUUUGACAAUAAUGAGAUAGAAAAAUAAGAUCAUAAAAACGAACAUAUAAAUUACAAACUUGUUCAGAGUGUUAGCUCCUCUCAUCUCUGUUAUCUGCCCAGAGGACUAUGAACCCCAUUGGAUAAUAAUGCUAGAAAGGAUGGUAGAUAUGUCCUGGUUGUAAGCAUGGUGUUGAACAUCCGAGCAAGGGCUGCAUUAUCUAGCUGCUUAUAAAACCAUGUAGUUUGGGAUGGUUUAUAAAAACUUUUCAAUGUUUCGAUACAGUUUCAUCCUUUCUUCAAGGUCAAAAAUUAUCAAUUACUCCACAUGUGAGCUUUAGUGGUAUGGCUUAAAUAGAAAUAGUGACAUCAGUUCCAUCCACUGUGUGUGCUAAAGCAUAUGUUGGAUGCUUUGUGGGCCAUCAAUGAGAAACACUGCAGAUUGAACGCACAGCUAGUGUGCUAGGCUCUUCUGCUACACUACCAACCCAACUUCUCAUUGCCAAAUAAAUGAACUGGAUAUGCCAUUUAUUAUCCCAUUGUUUAAAUCCUUCAAAGUUUAAAGGGAAAAGAAUUAUUAUUUUGCAAAUGUUGUAAGUGAGGGGUGGGGGCAGUCAGGGGCCAAGGUCAUCCAGUGCUUCCAUGGCAGAGCUCAGCAGUGAAGGAGGGGUUCCGUCUUGUUUCUUAGUACAUGCUACACAGUCAUUACAUAUCUGGAAGAGAAAGCUAUGGCUUUCAAAGUAUUUAGUAAAUUAAAACAAAAUCCACAUGGGAUAAUUGAGAACGUCUAGAGUAAUAGUCUCCAUUUGUGACUUCUAAAUAACAAUAGGAUGGAAUCAUGAACACUUCCGCCUCUUUGGGUUAAUUACUGUAAGGUUUGGGAUUCAAAGCACUUCACAUUUCUGUCUUCUUGGUAGUUUCAAAACAGAUGGUGUUAUGGUGGGAUUUCUCCCCAGCUCCUGCAGAAGAGACCAUUAUUGAGAUGAUCGGUACUUCUUUGGCCUCUCUCUUAAAGAGCUUGUUCUUUUAAGCCCUCGAUAGUAACUCGCUUUGUGAUUUUUAGCAGUAUUUCACCCAAACUUAUGCUCAUUAAACUGUUUGUCAAGAAUGAAAACCAGAAAGUUCCCUGAAGAAAAAAAAGCCAGUUUGAAAAACAAACCAUAACAUGCAUUCUUUCCAUGUGAUAAUAAAUAUUACACAUAUUAUUGAAAUUCUAGACCAUAUGUAUGAAUGUAUCUUUCAGUGUCUUGGGGGAAAAUGUCCACAUAUCCUCCCUCUAACAAUGUAGGUGGGGGAAGGGAAUUUCAGAAAUCCUUCCUUUUUUUGUUUUUGUUUUUUACAAUUAAGUAGAGGUUAAUUGAAAGGUGUUUUAUUUAUGUCAGCC
rnacentral:lncRNA from 1 species